AUUGAACGCUGGCGGCAGGCCUAACACAUGCAAGUCGAGCGGAGCGGCGGACGGGGGAGUAAUGCCUAGGAAUCUGCCUGGGCGUGGGGGAUAACGUCCGGAAACGGGCGCUAAUACCGCAUACUCUCAGAUGAGCCUAGGGCGGAUUAGCUAGUUGGUGGGGUAAUGGCCUACCAAGGCGACGAUCCGUAACUGGUCUGAGAGGAUGAUCAGUCACACUGGAACUGAGACACGGUCCAGACGCCUACGGGAGGCAGCAGUGGGGAAUAUUGGACAAGGGGCGAAAGCCUGAUCCAGCCAUGCCGCGUGUGUGAAGAAGGUCUUCGGGUUGUAAAGCACUUUAAGUUAGGAGGCGUUACCAGCAGAAUAAGCACCGGCUAACUUCGUGCCAGCAGCCGCGGUAAUUC
rnacentral:rRNA from 1 species